AUUUACUUUUGUUGUCAAACAUAAAGCCAUUAUUUAAACUAUGGCGUGUGGCUUCAGUCUCUUGUGGAAAAUCAUCGUGAAAGGACGUGCGAUUGUAACCGGCUUCGAUUCAACACAAUUGCUUGACUAGUUGUCCAACUUCAAAGGCGGGAAAACUUUCAAUAUAGACGCCAUAUUUUUUCAAAGAGAACUUUGAUAUUUUGCUUGUGUACUCCUUAAAAUCGAUGGCCUCGAAAGAUGUCAUCGCGCAGAAAACGUAGCCGAUGCACGUAAUACGUAAUAGGGAUCCGUGGCGUAUUAAUAUAAUCCCAAAAGAGGGAGCGCGAUGGAAACUCCGUAACGGCGACAUCCACGAGAUCUUGGCGAGUGCAAUUAUCUCGUGGAUGAUAGCGGAGCCCACCGAAUGGCGGAACAUACGCAUACAAGUUCGCGGAGGCGGAACACAGGCGGCCCACCUCUGUCCUUCGCCCUUCGAUCCGCGCAGCAGAAUGAGAACGGGGGAGGGGGAGGAGGGCGGCUUUUGGGAGGAUUCCAAAGAGGCCAAGAGGAACGCGCGCCCUCGUAAUCCCGGCCGAGCGAUCCCGGAAUCCAGGAAUGCAAAUUCGACAGGAAUAUUAAACGGCCGAUAUUCUACAGUGGCCUUCCCCGGUAAUGCAUGGCCGUGUAUGCGCCGCGAUAUGGGGCUGUUGUGCCCCCGCGUGCUUUUGUUGGCAAAACGAAAAUGCGGUUGAACCGUGACCUCAUCGAUCGAAAACCGGACUGAAAUUGUUACUGCGAGACCGGACACACGCACAACUUUGCUGUAUGAACGAUUCUAUGAAUGGCGCGAUUUAUAAGAUUUUUAAUAUCCGUUUGCACUUUUAACGCAGAUGGAUGAUGAUCUCGUGAAGAGUGUACUGUAAAAAUAUUAUCCAAGCAUUGUCGAUGGAAUGUAGAAGAAAGUAUGUAGGAUCUGUAUACGCUUUUGUGAACAAUUCUAAAAUUUCUAAUAUCUACACUUUUAAUACAGAUGGAUAAUGAUCAACCUUUGGUGUCGCAAAGAGUACUGUAAAAAUAUUAUCCAAGCAUGUAGAAGAAAGUAUCUAAAAAGGGAUUUGUAUACGCGCUUUUGUGAAUGAUUUCUAAAAUUUCUAAUAUCCGUCUGCACUUUUAAUAUAAAUGGAUGAUGGCCAACCUCUGGUGUCGCAAAAAGUGUACUGUAAAAAUAUUAUCCAAACAUUGUCAAUGGAAUGUAGAAGAAAGUAUCUAAAAAGUAGGAUCUAUGUACGCGCUUUUGUGAACGAUUCUAAAAUUUCUAAUAUAAUAUCGUCUGCAUUUUUAAUACAGAUAGAUGAUGGCCAACCUCUGAUGUCGCGAAAAGUGUACUGUAAAAAUACGAUUCAAGCAUUGUCGAUGGAAUGUAGAAGAAAGUAUGUAGAAUCUGUGUACGCGUGUUUUUGUGAACGACGAUUUCUAAAAUUUCUAAUAUCCGUCUGCACUUUUAAUACAGAUGGAUGAUGGCCAACCUCUGUUAUAGCGAAGAGUGUACAAAAAUACCAUCCAAGCAUUGUCGAUGGAAUGUAGAAGAAAGUAUGUAGGAUCUGUGUACGCUUUUGUGAUUCCGUGAAUGGCACGACGAUUUCUAAAAUUUUUAAUAUCCUGCAAAUUUCUAAUAGUCUGCAUUUUUAAUAUAGAUGGAUGAUAGCCAACCUCUAGUGUCGCCAAGAGUGUACUGUAAUACGAUUCAAGCAUUGUCAAUGGAAUGUAGAAGAAAAUGGAUGAUGGCCAAUCUCUAUUAUAGCGAAGAGUGUACUGUAAAAAUAUUAUCCAAGCAUAUAGAAGAAAGUAUCUAAAAAGUAGGAUCUGUGUACAAUGCUUUUGUAAACGAUUCUAAAAUUUCUAAUAUCCAUCUGCACUUUUAAUACGGAUGGAUGAUGAUCUCUGGUGUCGCGAAGAGUGUACCGUAAAAAUACCAUCCAAGCAUUGUCGAUGGAAUAUAGAAGAAAGUAUGUAGGAUCUGUGUACGCAAUUUUGUGAACGAUUCCGUGAAUGACGCGACGAUUUCUAAAAUUUCUAAUAUCCGUCUGUACUUUUAACGAGUUCUCGAUGAUAGCGAAGAGUAUACUGUAAAAAUACCAUCCAAGCAUUGUCGAUGGAAUGUAAAAGUGUGUAGAAUCUGUGUAUGCGUUUUUGUGAAUAACGAUUUCUAAAAUUUAUAAUAUCCGUUUGCAUUUUUAACGCAGAUGGAUGAUAGCCAACCUCUGGUUUCGCGAAGAGUAUAAAAAAUACUAUCCAAGUAUCGAUGGAAUGAAGAAAGUAUCUAAAAAGUAGGAUCUGUGUACAAUGCUUUUGUGAACGAUUUUAAAAUUUCUAAUAUCCAUCUGCACUUUUAAUACAGAUGGAUGAUGAUCUCUGGUGUCACGAAGAGUGUACUGUAAAAAUAUUAUCCAAGCAUUGUCGAUGGAAUGUAGAAGAAAGUAGGAUCUGUGUAUGCGUUUUUGCGAACGAUUUCGUGAGUGGCGCGACGAUUUCUAUCGAAAAAUUUGCAUAUCCGUCUGCACUUUUAACGCGUUCUCGAUGAUAGCCAACUUCUGUUGCAGCGAGGAGUGUACUGUAAAAAUACCAUCCAAGCAUUGUCGACGGAAUGCAGAAUGUGGAAGUACGUAGGAUCUGUGUACGAAUAAACACGCAUUGGCGCGUUUCUCCGCGCUGUGUAAACCAUUCCGUCGAAUGGCGGAUGACGAUUCCAAUCGAAAAUUUGCAUACCAGUCCGCGCUCCUUUCUUCCAUUUUUCUUUUUUUCCCUUUAACGCGUCCUCGAUGAUGGCCAACAACCUGUGAUGUCGCGGACAAAUGUAAAAAUAUUGUCGAACCACUGCAGCGUUUCUGUACGAAAACGCGCGUGUCGAAUAACGCGCACUUCAUUUUCCUUUUUUUCCUUAACGCGUUCUCUCGUAUCGCGAAGAAACGUGUUAAAUUACGUAACUCGGAUAACUUCUCUAUCAUCCUUCGAACAGUGGUUCGAGACAGUACAACACACGUAUGGAUGGAUUUCUUCGAGUAUAUGAAUGUGUAAUUCGUCGAUCGUUAUCGAUAAAAGUAUCGUCAAUAGAGAAAGUAUAUAGUAGAAUCUCUGUACGUACGCGUGUAUCGAAUAAAAUAAUACUUCUUUUUUCCAAUGUCGCGAACAGUGUACUAAAUUACGUAACUUUAUUAUCCUUGAAUAGUGAUUUUGACAGAUAUACGGAUGGAUUUUUAUUAUCGACGCAUAAUUCGUCGAUUCCCUAAAAAUAUUAUCAAAAAUGGUGCAGAAAUAUCAAGGAUGAAGAAUACAUCUCUGUUGCAAGCGCAUAUGUCGAAUAACCACGCAUUUAAACGGUUCUUUACUGUUGUUAAACGAUUCCAAUUGAAAUAUUUCUUUUUUAACGCGGUGUCGCGAACUAGUGUACUAAAUUACGUAACUCUAUUAUCCUUGAAUAGUGAUUUCGACAGAUGGAUAUGGAUGGAUUUUUAUUAUCGACGCAUAAUUCGUCGAUUCCUUAAAAAUAUUACCAAAAAUGAAUGCAGAAAUAUCAAGGAUGGAGAAUGUAGGAUCUCUGUUGCAAGUGUGUCGAAUAGCACGCAUUUAAACGCUUCUUUACUGUUGUUAAACAAUUCCAAUCGAAAUAUUUUUUUUUUAACGCGUUCUCCAGUGUCACGAAUUAAAUUAGUAUACUAAAUUACGUAACACUGUCACCCUUGAACAGUGGUUUCGAUGGACGAUGGAUGGAU
rnacentral:lncRNA from 1 species